UACGUAGGGUGCGAGCGUUGUCCGGAAUUAUUGGGCGUAAAGAGCUUGUAGGCGGUUUGUCGCGUCUGCUGUGAAAAUCCGGGGCUCAACCCCGGACUUGCAGUGGGUACGGGCAGACUAGAGUGUGGUAGGGGAGACUGGAAUUCCUGGUGUAGCGGUGAAAUGCGCAGAUAUCAGGAGAACACCCGGUGGCGAAGGCAGGUCUCUG
rnacentral:rRNA from 1 species